UACGAAGGGGGCUAGCGUUGCUCGGAAUCACUGGCGUAAAGCGCACGUAGGCGGCUUCUAAGUCAGGGGUGAAAUCCUGGAGCUCAACUCCAGAACUGCCUUUGAUACUGGAGAGCUUGAGUCCGGAAGAGGUGAGUGGAACUCCGAGUGUAGAGGUGAAAUUCGUAGAUAUUCGGAAGAACACCAGUGGCGAAGGCGGCUCACUGGUCCGGUACUGACGCUGAUGUGCGAAAGCGUGGGGAGCA
rnacentral:rRNA from 1 species